rnacentral:lncRNA from 10 species
GCUAAAGCAGCGGGCCGGGCGGAAGGUCGGGGAGCCAGAGCCCAGGGAAGAGCAGAAGGCGCGGGGGGGCGGGGGGGGCACCCAGGAGGGAGGACGGGGCAGCGGUGAGGGUGUAGACGGGAGGGAAUCUGUCCGGUGCCGCAGUGAGUUGGGUGGCGGUGAUUUGUUCGCGGGCGCAGGCUGGGAGGCGGGGUUCCUGACUCACUGCGGCACUGGCAGGGCUGGUGACAGCACCACCCCCGCGCCGCCUGCAAUCUGCCACCGCUGCCACCGAGCCGAGGGGCGCCAGCAAGGCAUCCCCUGGGUCAAGGGGCCUCCCGUGGGCUUUCCAAACAGCCUGUGCUCAUUUCCGCGGGAGCCCUCGGGGCGCUGUGCUGUGGCUGCAUUGUCACUGUUUGUUUAUUUCUACAUCUGCUCUGUUAGAAGAUAGGCUCGCUUAGGACAGAGCCUUCUAAUCCACCCCCUGAUGAAUUCGGGCCCUCGCCUUUGGCACAAUGCCUGGCGUCAUCACAACGCGGGUGAUCAGUAAACGGCAGCGAAGGAAGCGGGGUCAGGACUGGAGAGGAGAGGGGGAGGAAGACAGACGACCGGAGAGGAACAAAAAUGGAAGGCAGUGUUUCAAGAACCCAGCUCCAUUCAUCCUAUGAUGCCACCAUCCUCAGCAUUUGACUUCCAUGGCUCCUAUAUGCUGCCAAGAGAAUUUUUUUCUUUAAGAACAAAUAAACUAAAGAAAUUAACAUCCAGCUUGCUGAGUCACUUGCUUUCCACUUGAAUUUUAACUACAAGGAUCUGAAGACAGCCUGUGUUAGGCAGAGAAAGAAAGAGACAGAGAAAGAGUCAGGGAGAAGAGAGGAAGAGAGAUGUAGCUGGAGAGUCAGGGAGAAAUUCAAAGAGAUGGAGAGAGAGACUGGUUCUGGAAAGAAAAGAUAAGUUAAAUAGAAAAAGGAAAGUAAUCUUUGAAAGGUUUGUUUAAGACAUGUAUUUUCUUACUCUGUAGUGGGAGCGCUGAAUAAAAAUAUUUAAAUAAAAGCUGUAAUGUGAUUAAGGUUUGAGUUGGGGUUUAAUCGUGGAAAGAGCAAGGUAUUUAGAGUGAAAGAUCUAACUUUUGUAUUUAUUUUUCAUUUUUUAGUGUUUUCGCUUUUUUAAUCCCAGGUCCUCUACCAUUGACUAUCUGAUGUUAACAAAAUCAGUUCGCUUUUGUGUCUUGGUUUCCUCAUCUAUGAAAAGGGAAUAGAAAAACUUACCACAUAAGUUGGUAGGGAAGACACAAUUCUAUAAAA